AUUAUGAAAAGCAUCAUGGACAUAAGGAGAUAGUUUUGAUUGCUUAGCUUUGAUAAAGGACAUGAUGAGUAAAUAAAGCUAGGCAAAAAUAACUGAUUUAAGUGUAGCAAGGGUAUUGUAAUUGAAUUAAUGCAACUCGGUUGUACGAAUUAGGGCCAAUUUGAGCCUUCAUCACAAUAGACUGGGUCUGGUUGCGUGGGCCUCACCAAAUUUCAAGCGCAACUCUUCUUAUGGGGUCGAACCUGGAGACUGAAAGGACCAAGCAUGCCAGGCUCACAACAAGCCUUAAACAUGGCCAUUUAUUAGAAUUGGGCUCCAAAUGAAGCCCAAAUGACAAAGGAGAGGAGUCACUUUCUCAGAGGCUCACAAGAUAAGCAGGAGUAAUUCAAUUAUACAAAAGUUUCAACCAAUUUAAGAAAACACAAUACGAAUAACAACUACUAAACUACUGAUUAAUUAUACUAAUCAAUGAACGGAAUUAUUACAAUCCCGACUUAAACUCAUAAAAAUGGCUUCCAAAUCCUAAACUAAAUGAAUUAAAACAGCAUACAAAUGAUUUUCUCCCUAUUUCUUCUUCAGAUUUUUCAGAUGCAAAUACGCAAUAGUCAGGAAAUGGAGAUAUGAGAUGGACGUUCCUUUUAGCUUCAUUUAAACCCGAAAACAUCAACUCCAAUUCUGUUUCUAGCUAAAUGAACCAUUGUGUUUCAGCAUGUUUUAUAUUCUAUAUCACAACAGAAACAACAUUAGCAUACUUUGGUAUGAUAGAUGAUUAUUAUCAGUUGCCACUAAAUCAAUUUGUGAGUAGUUUCCAUCUAAAUUUCAGUUAAAUAAACAAAACAAACAAUAAACUGAUGCUAACAGAGGAGCGUAGAUAAACAGAUUUAGCAAACAAAUAAAGUCAUGAAAACAAUCGAACACAUUGCAACAAUGAUUCAGAUCUCAUUACAAACCAACAGAAACUCAAAACAACAACACAUGGUCCAUUGACACUGAUCAAUGCAAAUUUACAUGUUCAUUACUUGAGAGAUUGACUGGGAGAGAGAUUCAAACAAUUUCAACCAUUAAACAUGCUAGAUCUAUAUAAUUGGGCAGUAAACAGAUUUAAUUUCACUCAUGAUUUCAAUUUAAAGCUACAAAGGUGAUUGAACAUACCGACACAGCAAUAAACAAGUCUUAAAAUGGCCAAAUAAAGGUUGAGAACAACUACAACUAAAGCUCUGCUACUAGUUGACAGUGAACAACAACCAACAACCAGUUCAAAGCUAGAUCCACUUCAAAACCUAGAAAUGCAAGAGAGAAUAUAACAAAUCGAAACAAGCACAACUUAUAAAAUGUUUUGAGUGUAAAGCUAAGCUAGAACUCUAUUAUUUUUUCAUGCUUUUCUUCAGAACUUUGGUUUUCUUUUCAUAUCUCCAGUUUUUGAAUUUCAGCUGCAGUUGUGUGAGUACUGUAAAGAAAGAUGAAUGUAUGAGAAAAAAGAUCAUUGAGAGUCUGUGGGUAUUUUGUGGGGUAUAUGAGAGUGAAAUGGGUGAGAAUAAUCAAUAAAUGCGUGUCUAAUCAUGAGGGAAUGUACUGCUCUUAUAGCAGAAUGCCAGCUGCAUUUUCUGUUAUUUAUCUUUCUAUUGAGUCCCUUUUAUUUUCUGUAUUUUACUCCCCAAGUCCUUUAUUGACCUAAUUUUACUGUUUUAUUGUUUUCCGGCCCUUACUGAUCUCUUCUAGAAGAUUCCAGAUCAGUCACAGCAAAUAUUCCCUCUGGCCAAUUUCCAAAUUGACCUUUUAGACCCCUGUUUUUUUACAUUUCUUACCCUAAACAGGCUUAUGCCUCAUGCCUCAAUCAAACUAAGAUCACAAUCAGUAUCAAAUCAAAUAAAACGACUUCAGACUAACUAAUAACAAGCAAAACUGACUACUCGAAUGAUUAUUGAAUUAAAAGUGUAAUUACCUAACAAAUUAACAUACAACUGAAAUUAGCAAAACUUAGAGAGCAAUAAUGAAAAUGAACUAACUAGCUAAUAACCUAAUCGGAUGACAGACAACCGACUAAUCAUGCAUCCGAUUCAAAGAAAAGCAAGUGAAAUUAAACAAAAAAACUCACCAAAUUCCGAUGAACCAAAGGCCUAGGAUUUGAUUCAAUCAACUGGCAAUGGACCGAUCGCAAUUGAAUGAACUCCGGCAAGUGAAACAUAAUGACACGAGCACUGACCAUAAUUUCCCAUUCAGGUCAGUGCUACAAGUGACUAUGUUAAUCACAAGACGGAAAAAAUAGACACAAGCAAGGU
rnacentral:lncRNA from 1 species